rnacentral:lncRNA from 1 species
CUGGUUGUCGUGUCCCCUUCUGUGUCCCUGAUUGUGCAUGCAGUGCCAAUGCAGUGUCCCACAAGGCAGUUUCAGUAUGUUGUAGUGGAGGAUGCAGUGCCCCUGAUGGUGGAUGCGGUGAUCCUGCAAUUGUUGCUGUUUCCCCUUCAGGUUCCCUGAAUGUGGAUGCAGUGCCCAUGCAGUGGAUGCAGUGUUGCACAAGGUGGAUGCAGUGUGUUUUGAUGGGAGAUGCAAUGCCCACGACUGUGAAUGCAGUGAGACUGCAGUGAUGGCAGAGCGCCUGCAGUGCCACUUCAACAGUAUACAGUGUCCCUGCAGUGGUGGCAGUGCUGCCUGCAUUAUCCAGGAAUGCGGAUGCAGUGCUCAGGCAAUGAAUGAAGUGUCACACAAGUUGGAUGCAGUAUGUUGUGACAGAGGAUGCAGUGCCCAUGAAGGUGGAUGCAGUGAUCCUGAAGUGGUUUCCGUGCACACUGUAGUGUCCCUGAAUGUGGAUGCAAUGAACAUGCAGGUGGAUGCAGUGAACAUUCAGUGAUUGCAGUGCACCUGCAGUGCCCCUUCACCUGAAUGCUGUGUUGCUGCAGUGGUUGCAGAGCCCACUGCAGUGUCUCUGAAUGUGGAUGCAGGGCCCAUGCUGCCUCUGCAGUGUGACCCAAGGUGGAUGCAGUAUGUUGUGAAGUAGGAUGCAGUACCCAUGAAGGAGGAUGCAGUGAUCCUGCAUUCAUUGCAGUGCACCUGCAGUGUCAAUACAUCUGGAUGCAGUGUCCCCGAAUUUGGAUUCAGUGCUCAUGCAGUGAUGAUGUAUGUUGUGAUGGAGGAUGCAGUGCCCAUGAAGGCAGAUGCAGUGAUCCUGCAGUGAUUGCAGUCCAUCUGCAGUUCCACUUCAGGUGAAUCCAGUGUCCCUGCAGUGGUUUUUGUGCCCAUUGCACUGUCCUUGAACGUGGAUGCAGUGCCCAUGCAAUGGCUGCAGUGUCACUGACGCUAGAUGCAGUAUGUUGUGACAGAGGAUGCAGUGGCCAUGAAGGUGGAUGAAGUGAUCCUGCAGUGGUUGAAGUGCCCCCUGCAGGGUCCCUGAAUGAGAAUGCCAUGCCCUUGCAGUGGAUUCAGUGCCCCACAAGAUGGAUGCAGUAUGUUAUGACGGAUGAUGCAUUGCCCAUGAAGGUGCAUGCAGUGUUCCUGCACUGGUUGUCGUGCGCCCUUCUGUGUCCCUGAUUUUGGAUGCAGUGCCCAUGCAAUGGAUGCAGUGUCCCACAAGGCAGAUGCAGUACGUUGUAAUGGAGGAUGCAGUGCCCAUUCAGUGGCGGCAGGGUUGCACAAGGUGGAUGCAGCAUGUUGUGACGGAAGAUGCAGUGCCCACGACUGUGAAUGCAGUGAGACUGAAGUGAUUGCAUUGCGCAUGCAGUGUCCCUGAAUGUGGAUGCAGUGAACAUUAAGUGGAUGUAGUGAACAUUCAGUGAUUGUGGUGCACGUGCAGUGCCACUGCAGCUGCAUACAGUGUCCCUGCAGUGGUUGCAGUGCUGCCAGCAUUGUCUGGGAAUGUGGAUGCAGUGCCAAGGCAGUGUAUGCAGUGUCACAUAAGUUGGAUGCAGUAUGUUGUGACACAGGAUGCACUGCCCAUGAAGGUGUAUGCAGUGAUCCUGCAGUGGUUUCCCUGCACAUUGCAGUGUCCCUGAAUGUGGAUGCAGUGAACAAGCAGUGGAUGCACUAAACAUUCAGUGAUUGCAGUGCACCUGCAGUGCCACUUCCACUGAAUGACGUGUUGCUGCAGUGGUUGCAGAGCCCACUGCAGUGUCUCUGAAUUUGGAUGCAGGGCUCAUGCAGCCUCUGAGGUGUGACCCAAGGUGGAUGCAGUAUGUUGUGAAGUAGGAUGCAGUACCCAUGAAGGAGGAUGCAGUGAUCCUGCAUUCAUUGCAGUGCACCUGCAGUGUCAAUACAUCUGGAUGCAGUGUCCCCGAAUUUGGAUUCAGUGAUCAUGCAGUGAUGAUGUAUGUUGUGAUGGAGGAUGCAGUGCCCAUGAAGGCAGAUGCAGUGAUCCUGCAGUGAUUGCAGUCCAUCUGCAGUUCCACUUCAGGUGAAUCCAGUGUCCCUGCAGUGGUUUUUGUGCCCAUUGCACUGUCCUUGAACGUGGAUGCAGUGCCCAUGCAAUGGCUGCAGUGUCACUGACGCUAGAUGCAGUAUGUUGUGACAGAGGAUGCAGUGGCCAUGAAGGUGGAUGAAGUGAUCCUGCAGUGGUUGAAGUGCCCCCUGCAGGGUCCCUGAAUGAGAAUGCCAUGCCCUUGCAGUGGAUUCAGUGCCCAAAAUGGUGGAUGCAGUAUAUUAUGACGGAUGAUGCAUUGCCCAUGAAGGUGCAUGCAGUGUUCCUGCACUGGUUGUCGUGCACCCUUCUGUGUCCCUGAUUGUGGAUGCAUUGCCCAUGCAGUGGAUGCAGUGUCCCACAAGGUGGAUGCAGUAUGUUAUGAUGGAUGAUGCAUUGCGCAUGAAUGACGAUGCAGUCAUUCUCCAGUGAUUGCAGAGCACCUGCAUUGCCACUUCAACCGGCUGCAGUGUGCCUGCAGUGGUUGCAGUGCCCCCUUCUGUGUCUCCGAAUAUGAAUGCAGUGCCCAUGCAGUGGAUGCAGAGUAGCAAAAGAUGGAUGUGGUAUGUUGUGACAGAGGAUGCAGUGCCCAUGAAUGUGGAUGCAGUGAUCCGGCAGUGCUUGCAGUGCACCCUCCUAUGUCCCUGAAUGUGCAUGCUCUGAACAUGCAGUGGAUGCAGUGAUUAUGCAGUGAUUGCAGUGCACCUGCAUUUUUACAUCAGUUGGAAGCAAUGGCCCUGCAAUGUAUGCAGUGCUGCCUUCUGUGUUCCUGAAGGUGAGUGCAGUGCCCAUGUAGUGGAUGCAGUGUACCUAAAGCUUUACUCAGUAUGAUGUGACGGAGGGAGCAGUGCCCACGAGCUGGAUGCAGUGAGCCGGCAGUCACUAUAAUAUGUCUUCAGUGCCACUUCAACUGGAUGCAGUCUCCCUGCAGUGGUUGCAGUGCCCCCUGCAUUGUACCUGAAUGUGUAUGCAGUGCCCAUGCAGUGUAUGCAGCGUCCCACAAUGUGAAUGUAAUAUGUUGUGACGGAGGAUGCGGUGCCCGUGAAGGUGGAUGCAGUGAUCCAGCAAUGGCUACAGAGACCCCUGAAAUUUACCCGAAUGUGGAUGCAUUACUCAUGCAGUGGAUGCAGUGUGCCUCAACGUGGAUGCCUUAUGUUGUGAUGGAGGAUCCAUUGAUCAUGAAGGAGGAUGCAGUGAUCCUGCAGUCAUUGCCAUGCACCUGCAAUGCCAUUUCAGCUGACUGCAGUGUCCCUGCAGUUGUUGCAGUGCUCCGUUCUGUGUCCCUGAAUGUGGAUGCAGUGCCUGUGCAGUGGAUGCAGAGUACCAAAAUUUGGUUGCUGUAUGUUGGAACAGAGGAUGCAGUGCCCACGAGUUGGAUGCAGUGAGCCGGUAGUCAUUACAAUAUGCCUUCAGUGCCACUUCAGCUGGAUGCAUUGUCCCUGCAGUGGUUGCAAUGCCCCCUGCAUUGUCCUGGAAUGUGGAUGCAGUAGUCAUGCAGUGGACGCAGUGUCCCACAAGGUGGAUGCAGUGUUUUAUGACGGAGGAUGCAGUGCCCAUGAAGUUGGAUGUUGUGUCCCCACUGUGGUUGCACUGCCCCAGGAAUUGUCCGAGAAUGUGGAUGCAGAGCCCAGCCAUUGGAUGCAGUGUCCCACAAGGUGCAUGCAGUUUGUUGUGAUGGAGGAUGCAGUCCCCAUGAAGGUGCAUGCAGUUGUCCCUGCAGUGCAGGCAGUGCCAAUGGCAUCAUCCUGGAAUAUUGAUGCAGUGCCAAUGCAGUUUAUGCAGUGAAUCUUCAAUGAUUAAAGUGCGCCUGCAGUGCCACUUCAGCUGGAUGCAGUGUAGCUGCAGUGGUUGCAGUGCCCCGUUCUGUGUCCCUGAAUGUGGAUGCAGUGCCCAUGCAGUGGAUGCCAAGUACCAUAAGUUGGUUGCCGUAUGUUGUGUCAGAGGAUGCAGUGCCCACGAGUUGGAUGCAGUGAUCCAGCAGUGAUUGCAGUACGCCUGCAUUUCCUCAGCAGCUGGAAGCAGUGUCCCUUCAGAGGUUGCAGUGCCACCUUCGGUGUCCCUGAAGGUGAAUGCAGUGCCCAUGCACUGGAUGCAGUGUACACAAAGGUUUAUGCAGUAUGUUGUGACGGAGGAUGCAGUGCCAUUGAAGGUGAAUGCUUUGUCCCUGCAGUGGUUGCAGUGUGCACUGCAUUGUCCGAGAAGGUGGAUGCAUUGCCCAUGCAUUGGAUGCACUGUCCCACAAGGCGGAUGCAGUAUGUUUUCUCGGAGGAUGCAGUGCCCAUGAAGGGGGAUACAGUGUCCCUCCAGUGGUUGCAGUGACCCGGCAUUGUCCUGAAAUGUUGGUGCAGUGCCUAUGCAGUGGAUGCAGUGAUUCUUCAGUGAUUGAGUG